rnacentral:rRNA from 1 species
UGCCAGCGCCGCGGUACUACCGGCAGCCCGAGUGAUGGCCGAUCUUAUUGGGCCUAAAGCGUCCGUAGCUGGCCGCGCAAGUCCGUCGGGAAAUCCACCUGCCCAACAGGUGGGCGUCCGGCGGAAACUGUGUGGCUUGGAACCGGAAGGCUCAGAGGGUACGUCCGGGGUAGGAGUGAAAUCCCGUAAUCCCGGACGGACCACCGAUGGCGAAAGCACUCUGAGAAGACGGCUUCGACAGUGAGGGACGAAAGCUAGGGUCUCAAACCGGAUUAGAUACCCCUGUAGUCC